rnacentral:rRNA from 1 species
UUGACCUCAAAUCGGGUGAGACUACCCGCUGAACUUAAGCAUAUCAAUAAGCGGAGGAAAAGAAACUAACAAGGAUUCCCCUAGUAACUGCGAGUGACCGUCCGAGUUGUAAUUUAGAGAAGCGUCUUCCGCGCCGGACCGUGCACAAGUCUCCUGGAAUGGAGC